rnacentral:tRNA from 1 species
GGGGUCAUAGCUCAGUUGGGAGAGCACCGCGUUUGCAACGCGGGGGUCGUCGGUUCGAGUCCGUCUGGCUCCA